UUUGCAUAUCAAUAAGCGGAGGAAAAGAAACCAACAGGGAUUACCUCAGUAACGGCGAGUGAAGCGGUAACAGCUCAAAUUUGAAAUCUGGCCGCAAGGUCCGAGUUGUAAUUUGUAGAGGAUGUUUCGAGCAUGGUCUGGCCUAAGUUCCUUGGAACAGGACGUCAUAGAGGGUGAGAAUCCCGUAUGCGGUCAGGUGCCUACGCUCAUGUGAAACUCCUUCGACGAGUCGAGUUGUUUGGGAAUGCAGCUCAAAAUGGGUGGUAAAUUUCAUCUAAAGCUAAAUAUUGGCCAGAGACCGAUAGCGCACAAGUAGAGUGAUCGAAAGAUGAAAAGCACUUUGGAAAGAGAGUUAAACAGUACGUGAAAUUGUUGAAAGGGAAGCGCUUGCAACCAGACUUGCGCGCGGCUGAUCAUCCGGGCUUCUGCCCGGUGCACUCGGUCGCGCUCAGGCCAGCAUCGGUUUUGGUGGCGGGAUAAAGGCCUUGGGAAUGUAGCUCCUCUCGGGGAGUGUUAUAGCCCAGGGUGCAAUGCCGCCUACCGGGACCGAGGACCGCGCUUCGGCUAGGAUGCUGGCGUAAUGGUUGUAAGCGACCCGUCUUGAAACACGGACCA
rnacentral:rRNA from 1 species